rnacentral:rRNA from 1 species
GUGGUAAUGCCGGAUGUUCCACAUGAUCGCAUGUGAUUGUGGGAAAGAUUUCAUCGGCGUGGGAUGGGGUCGCGUCCUAUCAGCUUGUUGGUGAGGUAACGGCUCACCAAGGCUUCGACGGGUAGCCGGCCUGAGAGGGCGACCGGCCACAUUGGGACUGAGAUACGGCCCAGACUCCUACGGGAGGCAGCAGUGGGGAAUAUUGCACAAUGGGCGCAAGCCUGAUGCAGCGACGCCGCGUGAGGGAUGGAGGCCUUCGGGUUGUAAACCUCUUUUGUUUGGGAGCAAGCCUUCGGGUGAGUGUACCUUUCGAAUAAGCGCCGGCUAACUACGUGCCAGCAGCCGCGGUAAUACGUAGGGCGCAAGCGUUAUCCGGAUUUAUUGGGCGUAAAGGGCUCGUAGGCGGCUCGUCGCGUCCGGUGUGAAAGUCCAUCGCUUAACGGUGGAUCUGCGCCGGGUACGGGCGGGCUGGAGUGCGGUAGGGGAGACUGGAAUUCCCGGUGUAACGGUGGAAUGUGUAGAUAUCGGAAAAAAACA